AACGAACGCUGGCGGCAUGCCUAACACAUGCAAGUCGAACGAGACCUUCGGGUUUAGUGGCGCACGGGUGCGUAACGCGUGGGAACUUGCCCUUAGGUUCGGUAUAACUCCCCGUAAGGGGUGCUAAUACCGGAUAAUGUCUUCGGACCAAAGAUCUAUCGCUUUUGGAUGGGCCCGCGUUGGAUUAGCUAGUUGGUAGGGUAAAAGCCUACCAAGGCGACGAUCCAUAGCUGGUCUGAGAGGAUGAUACGCCACACUGGGACUGAGACACGGCCCAGAAUCCUACGGGAGGGAGCAGUGGGGAAUAUUGGACGAGGGGCGAAAGCCUGAUACAGCCAUGCCGCGUAAGUGAUGAAGGGCUUAGGGUUGUAAAGCUGUUUUACACGGGGUGAUAAUGACGGUACCGGGAGAAUAAGCACCGGCUAACUACGUG
rnacentral:rRNA from 1 species